CCUUCAGUGCUGCAGCAAACGCAUUAAGCACUCCGCCUGGGGAGUACGACCGCAAGGUUGAAACUCAAAGGAAUUGACGGGGGCCCGCACAAGCGGUGGAGCAUGUGGUUUAAUUCGAAGCAACGCGAAGAACCUUACCAGGUCUUGACAUCCUUUGACCACUCUAGAGAUAGAGCUUCCCCUUCGGGGGCAAAGUGACAGGUGGUGCAUGGUUGUCGUCAGCUCGUGUCGUGAGAUGUUGGGUUAAGUCCCGCAACGAGCGCAACCCUUAUUGUUAGUUGCCAUCAUUUAGUUGGGCACUCUAGCGAGACUGCCGGUGACAAACCGGAGGAAGGUGGGGAUGACGUCAAAUCAUCAUGCCCCUUAUGACCUGGGCUACACACGUGCUACAAUGGGAAGUACAACGAGUUGCGAAGUCGCGAGGCUAAGCUAAUCUCUUAAAGCUUCUCUCAGUUCGGAUUGUAGGCUGCAACUCGCCUACAUGAAGCCGGAAUCGCUAGUAAUCGCGGAUCAGCACGCCGCGGUGAAUACGUUCCCGGGCCUUGUACACACCGCCCGUCACACCACGAGAGUUUGUAACACCCGAAGUCGGUGAGGUAACCUUU
rnacentral:rRNA from 1 species